UGGGGAAUAUUGGACAAUGGGCGAAAGCCUGAUCCAGCCAUGCCGCGUGUGUGAAGAAGGUCUUCGGAUUGUAAAGCACUUUAAGUUGGGAGGAAGGGCAGUAAGCGAAUACCUUGCUGUUUUGACGUUACCGACAGAAUAAGCACCGGCUAACUCUGUGCCAGCAGCCGCGGUAAUACAGAGGGUGCAAGCGUUAAUCGGAAUUACUGGGCGUAAAGCGCGCGUAGGUGGUUCGUUAAGUUGAAUGUGAAAGCCCCGGGCUCAACCUGGGAACUGCAUCCAAAACUGGCGAGCUAGAGUAGGGCAGAGGGUGGUGGAAUUUCCUGUGUAGCGGUGAAAUGCGUAGAUAUAGGAAGGAACACCAGUGGCGAAGGCGACCACCUGGGCUCAUACUGACACUGAAGUGCGAAAGCGUGGGGAGCAAACAGG
rnacentral:rRNA from 1 species